AGCAGCCGCGGUAAUUCCAGCUCCAAUAGCGUAUAUUAAAGUUGUUGCAGUUAAAAAGCUCGUAGUUGAAUUUCGGGGUCAAUAAGUUGGUCAUGCCAAUGGUAUGCACUGGCUUUAUUGAUUCCUACCUCUUGACGAACUGUGAUGCCAUUAAUUUGGUGUUGCAAGGAAUCAGGACUGUUACCUUGAAAAAAUUAGAGUGUUUAAAGCAAGCUUACGCUUGAAUACAUUAGCAUGGAAUAAUGAAAUAGGACGUUUGAUCCUAUUUUGUUGGUUUCUAGGAUCGACGUAAUGAUUAAUAGGGAUAGUUGGGGGCAUUAGUAUUCAAUUGUCAGAGGUGAAAUUCUUGGAUUUAUUGAAGACUAACUACUGCGAAAGCAUUUGCCAAGGAUGUUUUCAUUAAUCAAGAACGAAAGUUAGGGGAUCGAAGACGAUCAGAUACCGUCGUAGUCUUAACCAUAAACUAUGCCGACUAGGGAUCGGAUGAUGUUAAUUUUUUAAUGACUCAUUCGGCGCCUUACG
rnacentral:rRNA from 1 species